GACGAACGCUGGCGGCGUGCCUAACACAUGCAAGUCGAACGGAAAGGCCCUGCUUUUGUGGGUUGCUCGAGUGGCGAACGGGUGAGUAACACGUGAGUAAACUGCCCUUGACUUUGGGAUAACUUCAGGAAACUGGGGCUAAUACCGGAUAGGAGCUCCUGCUGCAUGGUGGGGGUUGGAAAGUUUGGGCGGUUGGGGAUGGACUCGCGGCUUAUCAGCUUGUUGGUGGGGUAGUGGCUGACCAAGGCUUCGACGGGUAGCCGGCCUGGGAGGGUGACCGGCGACAAUAGGACUGCGAUACGGCCCAGACUGCAACGGGAGGCAGCAGUGGGGAAUAUUACACAAUGGGCGGAAGCCUGAGGCAGCAACGCCGCGUGCGGGAUGACGGGCUUCGGGUUAUGAACCGCUUUCGCCUGUGACGAAGCGUGAGUGACGGUAAUGGGUAAAGAAGCACCGGCUAACUACGUG
rnacentral:rRNA from 1 species